AUUAUAUUCACUGGGUCAUAUGCUGUUAUUUCAAGAGCUUUCCUUACAGCCUCUAAAUCAGCUCUCUGAGCAGACAUAUGGCCUGGCAAUUUAAAUCUCUGCAUUUCUUUUGUUUUAUCAUCAUAAAUGGCAUAACCUGUAUGAUGUGAUCCAUCAGCAUAAAAUCUCGUUCCAUCCACAUACAAACAAGGAGCCCCUUGUAUUGC